rnacentral:rRNA from 1 species
CCUACGGGUGGCAGCAGUGAGGAAUAUUGGUCAAUGGCCGUAAGGCUGAACCAGCCAAGUCGCGUGAAGGAAGACGGAUCUAUGGUUUGUAAACUUCUUUUAUAGGGGAAUAAAGGUAUCCACGUGUGGAUAUUUGCAUGUACCCUAUGAAUAAGCAUCGGCUAACUCCGUGCCAGCAGCCGCGGUAAUACGGGGGAUGCGAGCGUUAUCCGGAUUUAUUGGGUUUAAAGGGUGCGUAGGCGGCGCUUCAGGUCAGCGGUGAAAUACCGGGGCUCAACCCCGGGGCUGCCGUUGAAACCGGAGCGCUAGAAUUCCGAUGCCGUCGGAGGAAUGUGUGGUGUAGCGGUGAAAUGCAUAGAUAUCACACAGAACACCGAUUGCGAAGGCAUCUGACGAAUCGGAGAUUGACGCUGAUGCACGAAAGCGUGGGUAUCGAACAGGAUUAGAUACCCGGGUAGUC